ACCGGCCUGCAAAGUUGGUACGCGAAUACCGCAGGUUGAACCAAUACUCAAUGAACAGGGGUCAGACUCGUAUACAUGGUUCGGUGUGCUAUGUCCGCCAGUCCGGAAAGCCUAAAGAACCACGGUUUGGUCCCACCGUCUUAAGACGGGUUCACCUGCGCCUCGUCGUACGGCCCAGCGGGUCGGUU
rnacentral:other from 1 species